UUGAUCCUGGCUCAGAUUGAACGCUGGCGGCAGGCCUAACACAUGCAAGUCGAGCGGAAACGAGUUAUCUGAACCUUCGGGGAACGAUAACGGCGUCGAGCGGCGGACGGGUGAGUAAUGCCUAGGAAAUUGCCCUGAUGUGGGGGAUAACCAUUGGAAACGAUGGCUAAUACCGCAUAAUGCCUACGGGCCAAAGAGGGGGACCUUCGGGCCUCUCGCGUCAGGAUAUGCCUAGGUGGGAUUAGCUAGUUGGUGAGGUAAGGGCUCACCAAGGCGACGAUCCCUAGCUGGUCUGAGAGGAUGAUCAGCCACACUGGAACUGAGACACGGUCCAGACUCCUACGGGAGGCAGCAGUGGGGAAUAUUGCACAAUGGGCGCAAGCCUGAUGCAGCCAUGCCGCGUGUGUGAAGAAGGCCUUCGGGUUGUAAAGCACUUUCAGUCGUGAGGAAGGUAGUGUAGUUAAUAGCUGCAUUAUUUGACGCGUUAGCGACAGAAGCACCGGCUAACUCCGU
rnacentral:rRNA from 1 species